UUUGUUUUAGAAGAAGAAGAAGAAAAAAGGAAUUAUCUCUUUCGAUGAUUGCAAACAAUAUUCAACGCCGAUUUUUCCAUAUUCCAAUUAUACAGAAAUUAUGCGGUUAUUUCGUGGGUGCUGUGAAAGAAGGAAAAGAACUGAAAUGCAUUAAUGAACAAAAAAGUUUAGGUACUUCAAUUCCUCUCUCAGGAAAUUGCAUUUUGUAAAAGAUUGAUGGGUUUUUCAGAGGGGUUAGACCGCCUCACCCACUUGAAGACUUUGAAGGUUGGUGCGUUUUGUGAAGAGUUAGAUGCUUUCCCUAGUCUCAGUUUCAUCCAACACUUGCAGAAGUCCCUCGAAAAUCUAGAACUUAUAGGGUGGACUAAAGUCAACUCUCUCCCAGACGAAAUUCAAUGCUUCACUGCCCUUAAAAGACUAGAGAUAUGGAAUUUCGAUGGAAUGGAAGCUUUGCCUGAGUGGUUGGGCAACCUUUCUUCUCUUCAAAUGCUGUGUUAUUGUUACUGCAAGAACCUGAUGUAUCUGCCCACAGCACAAACCAUGCAACACCUCACCAAAUUAGAAUAUUUGAACAUUUAUAAUUACCCCAAAUUAAAGGAAAGAUGUGAAAAGGAGAGAGGCGCAGAAUGGCCCAACAUUGCCCAUAUUCCAUUUAUAGAAAUCGACGGGGAAUAUAUCUAAGGGUCACUGCAGAGAUUGGUCCAAGACAGAUGACAGGUGGAAUGGAGCCUAAAUUUGUACCCUUAUCAAUCUUGAACCCCUUCAUCAUGCUUGAUUUCUUACCAACAAGAGGCAUAAUAACCUUCAAAAUCAUGAUUUACAGCAUCUGCCACAGGCUUAAAUUUUUUGUGGAAGAAAAAGAAAGAAUCACUAACAGUUCAUCCACCUAUCAAAUCUUAUGUUGUUAUCAAGGCCUCACCGAGAGCCCUUUGCUCCAGUGACUGCAACACUUCACUGCUAGCUAAGAUUUUUCUUCUUGUCAGAGCUGUUGUCUUAACUAAGAUGCCAUCCUGUUUUGAGUGCUCCAGUUCAUACAAGGAUAAUAGCCUACAGUACUCAGGUCCUGAAGUUAACAAACUUGCUAGAAUCUCGGGACGUUAAAAGCUAAUUGCAUCUGGAUGUGAGGUGUGGUAGUCAGUGGAGAAAUCAUUGCUACCUAAAUAAAAGACUCCAAUCUGGAAACUUGGUGACCUAAUCUGCUACAGCAAUAGAAUGUGUUCUCUAAAUCCUGACUUAGAUAUUAAAGCCUCAUAUUUGAAAUGGUAUGUACACGGCCCAGCAUUUCUUAGGCUUUUAGCAUGGUUAGUUGUUAUAUGCAUGAUCUAAGGAAGGGUCAUGGGCAAGCUGCUAUAUGGAUCUUGAGAUGAUUUGGGUUUGAAGUUUGCGAGAGAUGAAUCUUUUAGAAGACACAUUGAUUCAGACUAUGUCAAGGAUCUAGAUAAGCUCCAUUCUACUAUGAGCUACAUACAUUUGCUAAAGCAUUGGUGAGUUGGAGGUUGAUACUGUAGUAGGCUAUUGCAUUGGCAACCACUACAGCUGCAUACAUGGGUUUGAUUGUAAUCAAAAGGGGGCUCUUUGGCUACAUGGUUUGAUUGAAGACUUGAAAAUUCAUCAUAAGCACAUUUGUCUAUUUUGUGACAGUCAGAGUUCCAUUCAUUUAGUAAAAGACCAAGUCCGUUACUCUUGAACUCAGCAUGUUGUUGAUAAGGAAGAUAUUUUUUUUCAGAAGAUUAGGAUUACAGAUAAUUUAGCUAAUAUGAUGACUAAGCCAGUACCUUUGCACAAGUUCAAGUACUACUUUGAUUUAAUCCUAGUGUGAAGUUUGCAACAAUCACUAGGGGCUUUGGUGGAGACAACGAAGAAAUUUUGUUUGUGAGCUUUGAUCAAAAGAUUUGUUGUGUUUGUGUCACAGGGACAUGG